rnacentral:sRNA from 1 species
AUGUCCCACGCGUGCACUCCGUGUCUGAGCGCGCCGUCCAUACCCAGCUGACGGCUGCUAGGGACGUUUUGUUAGCC